GGCGAACGCUGGCGGCGUGCUUAACACAUGCAAGUCGAACGGAAAGGCCCUGCUUUUGUGGGGUGCUCGAGUGGCGAACGGGUGAGUAACACGUGAGUAACCUGCCCUUGACUUUGGGAUAACUUCAGGAAACUGGGGCUAAUACCGGAUAGGAGCUCCUGCUGCAUGGUGGGGGUUGGAAAGUUUCGGCGGUUGGGGAUGGACUCGCGGCUUAUCAGCUUGUUGGUGGGGUAGUGGCUUACCAAGGCUUUGACGGGUAGCCGGCCCGAGAGGGUGACCGGCCACAUUGGGACUGAGAUACGGCCCAGACUCCUACGGGAGGCAGCAGUGGGGAAUAUUGCACAAUGGGCGGAAGCCUGAUGCAGCAACGCCGCGUGCGGGAUGACGGCCUUCGGGUUGUAAACCGCUUUCGCCUGUGACGAAGCGUGAGUGACGGUAAUGGGUAAAGAAGCACCGGCUAACUACGUG
rnacentral:rRNA from 1 species